GGGGGUGUAACAUCAUCGCGCGACUUAUUGUCGAUGAAGGUGAUCAUCGUUCUACUGGGAUAUGGCAACUGAGGAUCACUCCAAAGUAUGAUGGGAUUGAGAGAUGGGAUUGGAAUGACGUCUGGAUCAUCGAGGACAUGAGCCCAGAUCAAGGGAGGACAACUGACAUUCCGUGGGAAAAAAGGGGGGAUUAUUCCCCAGGAGUGUUCCUGUUAUUCAAGUUUAAUAUUAGCAUCACAGAAAAUGAGUAGAAAAAGUAAUGAUUAGAUUUUUGUUAAUAGUGCGAUUUACAGGGUUUUUGAAAUUUAAUGUAUACAAUCAGGAAAUUAGCAAUGUUAGAAAAUCAUUCUGCCAUGCAUUUUCUACUUAUAAUAAAGGUAUUCUAUAUUCAAAUAUAUAGGGGACAAAAAUGUAUACCUUUCAAAUUUAAGUGAACAAAAUACCAUUCAAAUUUUAGUGGGAAAAAAAAACACAAAUCAGCUUAACUAUAGAAUCUGCAAAUCAACUGCAAUAUCAAUACGACGUAUACACCAAAUCGGAUCUCUAAAAAAUAACGACAAUAUAGCGGGAGGGGGUUGGGGGUUAAAAUAAUAUUUAAGUUGUAUAUAGUGGUCAUUUUUAGUUAAGACUAAGUGAACACUUGAAACUGGAAACAGCAAAUAGAGUGUAGUGCAGGGGUAAAUACUCUGUGAUAAAAGUUGGUAAAUUACACACAGGGAUGAUCACAAAAAAUUAUCAUUCUUGGAUUAUAAGCUUAGAUACGGGUAUUGGAAAUAUGGUUAAAAUACAUUGAGGAUGGGAAAAGGAAUAUUAAGGUUUGUGAACAGGCUUUAAGUUAUUUUUAUGUUAAACGUUUUUAAUCAUCGAUGGAAAAGGGUUUUCUUAUAUUGUUUCGACCAAACUUGAUAUUUUGAAAAGAAUUUCGAUGACGAUUAAACAAGAAUCAGCAGUAUUUUUUUAAAAAUAAAGCAAAACCACUAAACAGCUAACAUCAUCGUAUACAGUUUGUAUACGUUGAUUGAAAGUGGGCCCUCGUAUCAGGUGUCAGUAGAUUUGCAUAAUCGUACACGCUCUACAACGAGUGUUAUAAAAUUCAGCAAUAAACUUCCUGGGUUUUCUUUUCUUUUAUAUAACCAGCAAAGGGUGAGAUGACACCUUAUCCACACGCACAUCCCUGAAAGAAGACAGGAUCCUAUCCAAACCUACAUCCCGAGGAGAAGACGUAAGGAGAGGAUGCUGUCAACACCAGACUCAGAACAGAGAGGCAACAGAAGAGCAUGGGGAUUCCAAACAUCAACCUUCCAGGGAGUCAGGAUCCUAAACGUCCACACAUCUUAUAGGGAAAAUCACCUAGUCUGGUUCUGAUCCAAAUCUGCCAUGAUAGCCUUAAAAAACCAUGACCAUAGACCACAGGGGACAAGGGGACAUGACCAUGCAGGGACAGGAGGAAAGCAGCAGGCAAAGCAGGACGUGAUCUUUUGGACUGCAUAGAGAGGAACUUGAACUUAAUAAUGGUUAUAUCAAACUCCUGCCUAUACGGCGGGCUGCCAAAGGCGCCCUCUUGAGCCCAAGUUAAGAACACAAUCCUUCUUUCAAACUUCCAAGGACACGUUCUGUAGUUCAGUAAGUGAUGAACCACCAUUGACAAUGCGAUUAUUCUCCCCUUUGGUUUCAAAUUUGGUUAUGAAAUGAAAGAUGAAACUAAUGACUUAUAGUAUAAACCAACGAAUUAGAACCGUAGCUAUGUUCACAUCAUUCAAGUCUGAACAAUAUUGAAACUUUGUGU